rnacentral:rRNA from 1 species
CCUACGGGGAGCAGCAGUGGGGAAUAUUGGACAAUGGGCGAAAGCCUGAUCCAGCCAUGCCGCGUGUGUGAAGAAGGCCUUCGGGUUGUAAAGCACUUUCAGUGGGGAAGAAAGCCUUGGGGCUAAUACCCUCGAGGAAGGACAUCACCCACAGAAGAAGCACCGGCUAACUCCGUGCCAGCAGCCGCGGUAAUACGGAGGGUGCGAGCGUUAAUCGGAAUUACUGGGCGUAAAGCGCGCGUAGGCGGUCUGAUAAGCCGGUUGUGAAAGCCCCGGGCUCAACCUGGGAACGGCAUCCGGAACUGUCAGGCUAGAGUGCAGGAGAGGAAGGUAGAAUUCCCGGUGUAGCGGUGAAAUGCGUAGAGAUCGGGAGGAAUACCGGUGGCGAAGGCGGCCUUCUGGACUGACACUGACGCUGAGGUGCGAAAGCGUGGGUAGCAAACAGGAUUAGAUACCCUGGUAGUC